rnacentral:rRNA from 1 species
CCUACGGGAGGCAGCAGGGAGGAAUAUUGGUCAAUGGGCGCGAGCCUGAACCAGCCAAGUAGCGUGAAGGAUGACUGCCCUACGGGUUGUAAACUUCUGUUAUAAAGGAAUAAAGUGAGGCACGUGAGCCUUGUUGUAUGUACUUUAUGAAUAAGGAGCGGCUAACUCCGUGCCAGCAGCAGCGGUAAUACGAAGGAUCCGAGCGUUAUCCGGAUUUAUUGGGGUUAAAGGGAGCGUAGGUGGAUUGUUAAGUCAGUUGUGAAAGUUUGCGGCUCAACCGUAAAAUUGCAGUUGAAACUGGCAGUCUUGCUUACCGUAGAGGUGGGCGUAAUUCGUGGUGUAGCGG